UCCUGGCAUGCAGGGGCCAUGGGGGAAGAAAGGCCUGGGCCAUAGCCCUGGCGUCCAGUGCUCCAGUGCUUGGGCGCAAGUGCGAGGUUCAGGAUGACCGACACGGCCUGGUGCAGGAUGAGCAGUUUGGUCUGGGGCUUCUCACUGUUGAGGUGCAGCUGGCACAUGCGCCCCAGCUCCUUAAAAGCCUCAUUGAUGUCUCGGA